GGGCCCGCACAAGCGGUGGAGCAUGUGGUUUAAUUCGAUGAUACGCGAGGAACCUUACCAGGGCUUAAAUGUAGUGGGACAGGUCUAGAGAUAGACCCUUCUUCGGACUCAUUACAAGGUGCUGCAUGGUUGUCGUCAGCUCGUGCCGUGAGGUGUCAGGUUAAGUCCUAUAACGAGCGCAACCCCUAUCGUUAGUUGCCAGCGGGUAAUGCCGGGAACUCUAGCGAAACUGCCGGUGCAAACCGUGAGGAAGGUGGGGAUGACGUCAAAUCAUCACGGCCCUUACGUCCUGGCUACACACGUGCUACAAUGCUACGGACAGACGGCCGCAAACCCGCGAGGGGGAGCCAA
rnacentral:rRNA from 1 species